GCAAUCAUCUCAUUGGGAAAAUACCAGAAAGCAUCGGUGACAUGAAGCAAAUUGAAUCACUUGAUCUAUCAACAAAUAAUUUAUUUGGUACAAUUCCUUCGAGCAUGUCUACUUUGAACUUUUUGGGUCAUUUGAAUCUGUCGCACAACAGUUUGUCAGGAAAAAUUCCAUCAAGCACUCAACUUCAGUCUUUCGAUCCAUCAGCCUAUAAUUCGAAUCAUGGUCUCUGUGGAUCACCUCUUCAGAAUUGUGCUAAUGGCACACAUUAUUCCCAAGUCACAAAUGAGGAAGAAGGAAAAGGAGAUUGGACAGAGAUGUUAUGGCUUUACAUAGGUCUUACAAUGGGAUUCAUAACUGGCUUCUGGAUGAUCAUCGGUACCAUUAUCAUCAAGCAAACCAUAAGAAUUGCUUAUUUCCGAUCCAUUGACAAAGUGCAUGAUUGGAUAUAUGUGAAGAUGGUUGUGUACUCUCAGAGGCUGAAGUCAACUUUCUCAAGAAGGAACUAAGGUCCAAGUAACAUGGCAGGUGGCCUAAGUAGUGUAUAUCAAUAAAGUGAUGUCAGUAUAUUAUGUUGCUCUUGUUAUAAGUCCUUGUUCAUUCUGUAUUUGAACCAUGAGUUUGUUAUUUGAAUUGUUACUAAGUUUGAAAUCAUAAGUGUAGAACAUCAUUAUGUGUUGUUAUUUGAAGAUAUAACAUUUUGCUAUGUUUUAUGAGGAUAUGAAAGUUAUUUAUUGA